UGAAAAAUAAAAGAAAAUUAGAGGAGAAAUAUAUCGAUUCGGUUAAACACUAUUGACUAUUUUUUUCUCUCUUCUUUCUUCUCUCUGAAACUCGAUCUGAAUUAAACUUGAUUGGAAACCCUCACACUCGAUCCCAAUUUGUUUGUCUCUUCUUUCACUUUCGUUCUCUCUCAAUCCGUCUUAGCCUCAAUUCCUCACUGUCUCAAUCCCUCUCAGUCUUAAUCGUCACAUGGAUCGAUCCAAAUGAAAUUGGUGAGAUCAAAAGUGACACAUAAAGGAAGAUUUCAGUUAUUCCUUGUUAAAACCUCUCUUGUUUCAACGAUUCCUCUCCUCCAGUGGUCGAAGACUCCGCUUGAUUUGGGAAUUGACUAUGAGAUAUGGUUACUUAUCGGAUCCACAUAAUUCAAAGUCUCAAACCGGCUAUGUGUUUACACACGGUGGUACCGCGAUUUUGUGGCGUUCUAUGAAGCAAAGCAUUGUGGCCACUUCAUCUAAUCACGCGAAGAUUCUAGAAAUUCACGAAGCCAGCCGUGAAUGUGUUUGGUUGAGAUCGAUGAUUCAACAUAUCAGGACAGAUUGUGGCAUGGCCGACGAUAAGGAAGCAACAGUUAUAUAUGAGGACAAUACGGCUUGCAUCGCACAACUCAAGGAAGGAUACAUCAAGGGAGAUCGGACGAAGCACAUUUUGCCAAAGUUCUUCUUCACACAUGAAAUACAAAAGGUCGGAGAAGUUCAAGUGGUACAAGUUCAAUCAUGCGUCAACUCAGCCGAUCUCUUCACCAAGUCAUUGCCGACAUCGACAUUCAGGAAGCUCACGCACCAGAUUGGAAUGCGGAGACUUAAGGACUUUUAGUGAUGCUUGGAACAGGGGGAGCAAUGCGUGCUGUACUCUUUUUCCUUCACCAUGGUUUUGUCCCAUUGGGUUUUCCUGGUAAGGUUUUAAUGAGGUAGCACCCCCAAGCGUAUUGCACCGAUCCCUUAGCAUCGGCACGGUUAUGUCAUCCAAGGGGGAGUGUUGUAAAACACUUGGAGUAGAUCUUCCAUAACCGGUCCAUCCAUGGUCCAUACAUGGCCCAUGUACGCCAAGACAAUAAGGCCCUUCGGCCACCUCCUUUGUACUUAGUCGGUUUAGUUUCCUAAAGUGAUAAAGCUUUGUUCUUCACUAUAUAUGUAUGAUUAUCGAACAUAAUAAGAAUAAGAAUACAAAAUCUCCUUUGAGUUUCUCUAGUUUACAACAUAAACAAACUUGUUUCUGAUUGGCUAAUUCUUAAAGAUGAGGAUCAAACCUCAUUUGAUAUCCACCGUUCAUAAAAGUUAAAUCAACGGACAUAUUUACUUCUUUUACUUCUCUACCUCUAAACAUUAUAUCCUCUUCUACCUCGAGAUGCACACGUCUCUAUGAGAUCUUUGGCUUCCUUCCCUCUCUCAUAGCCAUGGCUGCUUUCACUUGUACUUCUCGCCCUCCAGUUUCUCUCUGUUCGAAUGGGAUCUUUACCAUCGGCUUCACACUCUGUUCACCUUGUAUCCGUCUUUCUCACUCUCCAGCUUUGUUGACCUCGAUUCAUCCUAGGAAAUUGCUAAAAAUUAAGACCCAUGUUCUUAAGGAUAUUAAAGAAGAUGUUUCGAGGAAGAAGUUUCAAUGGAAGAAGAAGAAGUUUCAAUUGCUGUAGAUGUUUUUUUUUGUAACCAAAAAGCCUAAUGGGCUCUAUGAAACCACAAAACAAUUCAAGACAAUAAGUCCAAUUGGAUGUGUAAUGUCUUACGUAUAUAAUUAUUUUUGUAAACUUUUUACUUUUUUUGUAAAAUUACCAGUUUUAUAUUAAUAAAUAUCUCAUUUAUCUCACAUAUUAGCAAAUAACCAAAUUAAUAAUAUAUAUUAAUUUGUACAAAUACGAUAUAAAUACACAAAACAGUCUACAUAUAACAAAACUGCUAUUAUAGUUUUACAAAAAAAUGGUAGAAUUAAAUAGAUUAACAGCAAAUAAUAAUGCUAUUGUCUAAUAAAAGAUUGCAUACAAAAAACCGCUAUAUUAUUGAAUAUUUUGAUAGCACUUUUAAAAAAUGUUAUGUAAAAUGUCAAACCUAUUAUAAUGGGA